AGAGUUUGAUCCUGGCUCAGGAUGAACGCUGGCGGCGUGCUUAACACAUGCAAGUCGAACGAAGCACUCUUUUAGAUUUCCUUCGGGGAAGAAGAAAUUGUGACUGAGUGGCGGACGGGUGAGUAACGCGUGGGCAACCUGCCCUAUACAGGGGGAUAACAGCCGGAAACGGCUGCUAAAACCGCAUAAGCGCACAAGGGCCGCAUGGCCUGGUGUGAAAAACUCCGGUGGUAUGGGAUGGGCCCGCGUCUGAUUAGCUAGUUGGCGGGGGAGAGGCCCACCAAGGCGACGAUCAGUAGCCGACCUGAGAGGGUGGCCGGCCACAUUGGGACUGAGACACGGCCCAAACUCCUACGGGAGGCAGCAGUGGGGAAUAUUGCACAAUGGGGGAAACCCUGAUGCAGCGACGCCGCGUGAGCGAAGAAGUAUUUCGGUAUGUAAAGCUCUAUCAGCAGGGAAGAAAAAUGACGGUACCUGAGUAAGAAGCACCGGCUAAAUACGUGCCAGCAGCCGCGGUAAUACGUAUGGUGCAAGCGUUAUCCGGAUUUACUGGGUGUAAAGGGAGCGCAGGCGGUGCGGCAAGUCUGAUGUGAAAGCCCGGGGCUCAACCCCGGGACUGCAUUGGAAACUACCGAACUAGAGUGUCGGAGAGGUAAGUGGAAUUCCUAGUGUAGCGGUGAAAUGCGUAGAUAUUAGGAGGAACACCAGUGGCGAAGGCGGCUUACUGGACGAUAACUGACGCUGAGGCUCGAAAGCGUGGGGAGCAAACAGGAUUAGAUACCCUGGUAGUCCACGCCGUAAACGAU
rnacentral:rRNA from 1 species